GAUGAACGCUAGCGGCAGGCUUAAUACAUGCAAGUCGAGGGGCAGCGCAGUGUAGCAAUACAUGGGCGGCGACCGGCAAACGGGUGCGGAACACGUACGCAACCUUCCUUUAAGUGGGGGAUAGCCCAGGGAAACUUGGAUUAAUACCCCGUAAUAUUAUGAAGUGGCAUCACUUUAUACUUAUAGCUCCGGCGCUUAAAGAUGGGCGUGCGACUGAUUAGGUAGUUGGGGGGUAACGGCCCACCAAGCCUGCGAUCAGUAACUGGUGUGAGAGCACGACCAGUCACACGGGCACUGAGACACGGGCCCGACUCCUACGGGAGGCAGCAGUAAGGAAUAUUGGUCAAUGGACGCAGGUCUGAACCAGCCAUGCCGCGUGGAGGAUGAAGGUCCUCUGGAUUGUAAACUUCUUUUAUUUGGGAAGAAACCCACUGUUUCUACGGUGGUUGACGGUACCAGAUGAAUAAGCACCGGCUAACUCCGUGCCAGCAGCCGCCGUAA
rnacentral:rRNA from 1 species